rnacentral:lncRNA from 1 species
UUUUUUUUUCACUUGGAAUGUUCUUAUACAUUUCUUAAUAUCAUUCAAAUAAAACAUUUCCUUUAGAGCUUUUCUUGACUACCACCCCACCCCCACCCCAGGAUAAUUAAGUUGUUCACUUCUUUGUGAUCCAUUGCCUCUUGUUCAAUCUCUUAUUUUAAUCCUAAUCACAAUUUACUAUAAUUAUUAUUCUGCACCUAUACAUCCCUUACUGUGCUGUGAAAUUAUUAAGAACAGGGGCUGUGUUUCACUUAUGUUUGCUUAGCACAGUGAUUGGCAAAUAUAUGCUCAAAAAUUGUAACCGAAUAGAUGAGUAAAGGCACUGGCCACAGUCUUGAAACUACCUAAAAUUUUCUGAUAUUUAAAAGCUUUUUAGUUUAGAAACUUUGGCAGAAAUGUUUAUGUGUCAUUCCCACUUAAAAAUGACCCAGUCACCAUGUGUUUAUUUACUACGUCAACACCACCUUUUCCUCCUCAGAAAUUACUACAAUAUUUAUAAUCAGCACUAUAAAAUUUGAGUGUUAAAUUAUACAAUGUGUCUCAAGUUUGCAGCUUGCCAGAUUGUAGGCGACUUUAUAGUUUUUCUAUCCAUCCAAUGUUUAUGAGGACUAGUUAUAUUGGACACACAGAAGGAAAGUAUUCAGUGCAUUAUCAUUUGUUAUGGAGUUAUUUUUAAAACGCAAGUCUUUGAAAAUUUUAAGUUUUUAAAAAAGAUUUUACUUAUUUAUUUACUUGAGACAGAAAGAGAAUGAACAGGGGGUAGGGGCAGGGGUCGUAGGACAAGCAGAUUCCUUGCUGAGUAGGAGCCCAAUGCAUGGCUCCAUCCUAGGACUCUGGGAUCAUGACCUGAGCCAAAGGCAGCUGCUUAACUGAACCACCCAGAUGCCCCCAAAGUUUUCAGUUAUAUUUGAGUCUAAAUGAUCAUGGACAGAUACAGUAGCUAAGCAUAAAUUAUAUUAAUGAAAAGGGUAAUCAAAGGGCCAUUGUGAAACAAAUUUGUAUUUAAAAGGAUUUUUAUUUACAGUAAUUUCAAGAGUACCAAUAAAGUAAUAUGUAGGGUUGAAGAUAGUCCGAAGAAACAUAUUUGUAUAAAUCUGUUUUUUUCUUCAAAAUGCAUGUAGAAUAAGUAUUUCACAGUCAACCAGUAAACUAGAGUUUGGGAAACAACUUUGACAUUUCACUCUAGUAAGAAGGUAUUAGUGCACCAGUGAAAAUGAGUCCAUUUACUUGUUUUCAGAUGCCUUUGAAAGCAUUGCUUUAUUUUAUUUUUUUCUUCAAUCUUAGCUUUCCCAUCUGCUUUCCAAAUUCUGAAGCAAAAUGUUAGGAGGCGAAGUGAGGCUGCCUAGUAGGAACCUAUAAUGGUGAAAUGUACACAAGAUUUCCCAUUAAGAUUUUCUAGCUAUUUCUCAGCAACUCUUGGCUUGAUAUGGACAAAACAAUAAAUGAAGAGCUAGGUCAGACCAAUUUGUUUCUUCUCAUUCAGUAUUCUAUCUUAUAAAAGGAUUGUUUGGAAUGAUUUCUAAACAUACUGAAAACUUGUUUACACUCCAAUCUGAAUUUUUCCAUUGGUUUCUUUCACUUGUUUUCUAGUUUAUUUACUAUAAUUAUCUUUCCCAAAUGUCAGAAAACAUUCUUUCUUUGGGAAAAUUAAGAAUUUAAGAUAUCUAUAAUGUUCCCCAUAGUCUUUAUGUUAUAGACUUCCAUUUGGAAAAAUCCUGUAUUGAAGGAGAAUGUAUGUGUGUGUGUAAUUUAGAUACAUACGUAGUUAUAUUGUAUCAUGUUAUACUAAAUUGUGCCAUGCUGUGGUCUAUUAUGUUUAAACAUCACUUUGCCCUGCCCCAUUCUGAGCUUUAUCAAGUCAUAAUAUCCUUAUUUUUAUGCUAUAUUGAACACUUUCAUAUAAACUUUAAAACCAUGUUACCACCUAAGCAUCUCCACAGUUAUUAACUAGCAAUUAGUCUUUACCAUGUGAUAUCUGUAUACGUUAGAUCAGAUGAAAAAAAUAUGUAUAAACAAGGAAAUUAUCAAACAGUAAGAUGGUUACAUUUUCAUUGUUAUUUGUAAUUGAAUUCAUGAGUCUUUAGUUAAUUACAAAAAUUAUUGUCUGACAAUAAGAUAUAAUGCCGUAUGAUUUCACUCAUAUGUGGAAUUUAAGAAACAAAACAGAUGAACAUAGGGGAAAGAAAAAAAUAGAGAGAAGCAAACCAUAAGAGGCUCUUAACUGUAGAGAACAAACUGAGGGCUGAUGGAGGGGGAGGUAGGUGGGGGUUGGGCUCAAUGGGUGAUGGUAUUAAGGAGGGCACUUGUGAUGAGUACUGGGUAUAAUAAGUGAUGGAUGAAUCACUAAGUUUUACUCUUAAAACCAGUAUUACAAUAUAUGUUAACUAAAAUUUAAAUUAAAAUUUGAAAAAAAUGACAUCAUGUGCUUGAAUUUCAUCAGUAAGUUAAAUGGAUGCUUUGUAGUUCCUGGUAGCAUUAUCAUGCAAGCAAGUUCACUGAAAAGUGCAAUGGGCUAGCAAAAGGUUGCUAUCUAGAAACCAAAUGCAAAUGCAUUUUCAUUUUCAAAUGAUACGUAUUUUCUGUUAAUGUCAUGCAAAUAUAUACCCAGAUACAUGUGCAUGGUAAAGAUGACUUGGUUGACAACCAAUUUAUUUUGUAGGUAUCCUAAGUAGCAAAACUACUAGAUCUUUAUUAACCAUUUAUUAAUAGUUAAUCUUGAUUAACCUCUUAUUGACUACUUGUAUUUUGUAAUUAUGAUUUGUCAUUACAAGUCUUAAAUUUUCAUGUUAGGGAGCCAAACUAAGU